GGAGAGAUGGCAGAGCGGUUGAUUGCAACGGUCUUGAAAACCGUCGAAGGCGCAAGCCUUUCGCGAGUUCGAAUCUCGCUCUCUCCG
rnacentral:tRNA from 1 species